CUUUUGUUGUUGUUGUUUUCUUCUGUUUCCUCUCCCUAAAAGAGAAGUGCUUUCACUGCCUCUGGCACUCGGUGUCUGUACAAGAGAGCUUACUUUGUCUUUCCUUGUGAACACAAGCCUGUAUCCAAUCUAUGGUUAUAAUUUCAGAGGAAGUCUUAGAGAAAAUCCCAGAGGUAAGAUCUCACCAGUACAGGAAUAUGAACAUUGCUCUCAUGGAGGGCACUGAGAUAUCUUCCAGUGUAUGCUUCUGUGCUCCUUUGGCAAAUCUGACUGUCAUGAAAGGGCGUGCCUGCCCAGCAGGAUAAGGAGAUUGCUGUCUGUGCUCGUGGAAAGACAGCUGUGACUUCCUUCCUGUUUCUAAUGGUGAAUGAGGCCUCCUGAGUGAAUUCAGUGUACUUUGAAUUUGUCUGUUCCUGAACGGGGAAAAAGUAAGAACAAGCAUCUCCCACGUGGCAGCUUGGAUCUGGUGUAUUGUAGGUUUUUGUCUGGAGAGACUAUUCCAACUGCUGGGGAAGCCUGGGUGCCAGUUUGGACAGAUGCCCUAUACCAGAUUGGGGUUUUCUGCUUUCGUGCAUGCUUUUUUUCCUUCUUUUUCUGUCUUCAGUAUGCUGGUACUCUUCUGAAAUCUUCAGGACCCUAAAACUGCGGCUAGAAAUCACUAGAGUGAAGGAAUCUUCAGGUGCAGCAGAUGUGCUCUUUGCACCGGGCCUUGCUGUAAUUUUGGAACAAAUGAACAAUGUCUAAGAUGUGAAAAAGAGGGGUAGCAUGGGAAUAGUAGUGUUCUGUACAGUGUUAAAUUGCUGUUCACUUUGUCCAUGUGGGAAUUGCUGGACGACAUGUGGCUGUGGUCACUGCAGUGCAGCGGUUGUGUUCUCAUGUCCUCUGGUAAGAUGGAAUCGAUGUGUUAUGGCAGCUUUGUUAGCCAGAGACAGAUGGGAUCAAUCAAAAACUUGAUUAAAAGUAGUUGCAACCAGCCUAUGUGUCUGGGGUUAGGCUAAUGCUUGUUUUAUGGCAGACGGUAAAUUUGUUUGGAAUUUAAAUGAGCAUUACUUAUCGUCUUCAUUACAUCCCCAGCUCAGACAGAGAGCUUCCUCUGUGCUGCUGGAACAACUGUGGUGGGAAGGAGAGUGCCUUGCUCUUCCUUAGCAUCCCUGGACAGGCAGUGCAGCGCAUCCUGCUGUGUUCAUUGCCUGUUUAAAUUGGGCACUGCAGAUCGGUAGCAAAAGCUGAAACGUUUUCCUGGGAGUUUCUGGUGCCUCUCUGAAUACUGCAUGGGCAGGUUCCUCAGUGCUAAGUAAGGAAGUGGGACUGUUUCAGCAGUCUGUGCAAAGCCACAGUGCACGGUAGUAUUAUGAUGAAUCUCUCUCUUGAGAAAUGAAGUCUCUUGAACUAUACAAACAAUUUCCUCGGGAAGGUAAAUAUUGCCAGAUAAAUAAGCAAUCUCAUUGAUGUUGCACCAAGAAAAGCUUGCUGACUUCCUGUCUUGAUUGUAAAAUGUUUUUAAAUGAUCUUGCAUAUAAUAAUCUUUCAAGAUACACCCAGCGUGAUGCAAUACCUCUGCCAAGAGGAAGAAAAUCUAGAAUACAUGUUCUUGUGAAAGUGCCCCAAGUUUCUGUUGGCCGAAGUGUUGGGCAUGUGAAAUUUUUUUGCAUUCUUCUCUUGCACCAUAGUUGCUGAAUCUUCCAGUAUCUUAAUUAAGAUCUUAAUUCUUUCUGCCUUCUCUUGGCUGCUUUCAAGAGUGACAAACUGCUUCCAGAGUCAGGAAGCACAGCUUUGAUAAUGGAUUGAAGAAGACCUGCUCCAGCUUUGUAUAAUCUGUCAAAAGACCUUUUGGAAACCUUUGGCUUAAGGCUUCUCUGCUGUCCAGUGGCAGAGAGGUUUACACAGCGACAGAGGAUUGAAGAUUCUAGAAAGAAAAGCCAAUAUAUCUGAUUGAACUACUGGCAUUAAGGGCAGGAGGAGAAUGACAAUUAAUCCUCCUAACCACUUUUCACAGCUCCUCCUUGCAGAGUCCCCAGCAUUCCUCCUUGGCUGAAGUGUGGAGGUUGUCUGAAGUGGGCAGUGCCUUCCCAAGGCUUCUGCAGAGCAAAUGGGAAACUGGAACAUGUGUAUGCUGGUAAACUGAAAGUAUCUUUGUUGUCUAACUUGUGUUACGUGGAAACUUGGUGUAGGGAUACAGUGAGAUUGCUCUUAAAGCACAAGUGAAAGUGAACUUUGUUGUCUCCCUGCAGUCCUAGCACUGCAGGUAAAUUUAUUCUGCUUAGAGAGUAUUCUUUUAAGUUACUGCUCCUGGAAGAGCCAUACAGCUAAACUUAUAUGGCAUCACAUAUAUUUUCCUGGAUAUAAAAGUCUGAAUAUAUCCAUCCCACUUGCAAGGAAUAUGCAGCCUUUUCUCCUGUUCUAGAAAGGAGGGCUUUCUUUGUGAUUCUUGCAGGUGGGUAUAAAUAUUCUACAUGUCCUGCUGAAGCAGUUCUAGUUAUCAAAUCAAACUGACGUUGAUGCUACUUGAUGCAUGGAGAUGCUAACUAGUUGCUCAUUGAGGCACAUGUAAUGUGUCAGUGAUGUACAAAUCUUGUUUGGCUGUGCAGAUGCUGUAACUUAAUGUUUAUCUGCAUGUGUGGCCCUUACAAGCAUUUGUGGAUGAGCAGUUAUAGACAAAUUUGUUCAUUUAAUUGCUGCUUGUAAUUGUAUUGCGGUUCUGCACAUAGAAAAGCUGGCCCUGAAUACAAGAGUGCCUGUGGACCAAAAUAGUGACUUUUUGACAACUUGAGAACAACUCUAGCAAAUGCCUCGCAGCAGAUGUAGCCCAGGGUACACCAGUGCCAUUUGCCUUUUAUGUAAUGUUGCCUGUUUUCUUCCUCAAUCUCUCCAAGUGCUGUGUAGGAAGACAAGAGCGCAGAAACAUGAGCGCUGCUGUCUGGACGUAGGCUUCUGAACUGCUCCGUUUCUGCGCAGCCCAGGUACCUGCAGUGCUUCUGUAGUGCUGCACGCUGGAAGAUUAAAAGCACGCAAUGCAACUCUUAAAUGAAUUCUCUGCGAUCUUUCUGCUGUUAUCAAGAACCGUGGAGGAGGAGGUGGAAACAAGUUUUUCUUGUCUUCUGAUGCUCUGCAAACCGCCUUGUCCUGUACAGAAAAGCAGCAGUGAGAACCAGAUGGUGAAGAGCAUGCUUCCAGUCCCCUCUGGCUGCCCAGAAGCUGUGCGAGCACCAGGAGAGAUAUUGAUGUAGUGUGACUGAUGGAUGGCAUCUGCCUUCCCGUCCUUUCUUCUUGUGCACCUAGAGAGAGAGAGCUGUCUGUUGCUUUUUUUUCCUGUAGGCCUUUCUACCAUCAUGAUGUUGUUCUUCUGGCCUCCUUCCUGUAUCCCUUUCUGCACCCUCAUCUUCCGUUGUCCCCAUUUAGUUGCUGUUUCUCACCAGCGAGUGCUCAGACCAGUGUCAGAACAUAAAAUCUACCACUCUGGCUAAAAUGCUUUUUGUACCCCUAACCGCAGCUAAGCCAGAGGCUCUGGCUUCACACCAGUACCCACAUCCAGAAUGUGAGCUGUCUGCUUGUGCUCUGGCUCCAGCCCAAGUCAUGCGUUGGAAAACCACUGGUUGUUUCUGCAGCCUUGGAAGCUCUUGCUUUCUUGACUCCUGUCUGUCCGAAGAAAUCUCUGCUGCAGUUUCACAAUGCUGUACCAGAAGGGAAUGAAGAAAUCAGGUGUUCUUUCACCACAACUGCAUCUUAAAGCAGUCCUAAACAGGAAAAGGAAAAUGCAAGUGAUGUUCUCCCGUGCUAUAGUGCUUUUGGUGUCCUUGCUUUCCACUCGGAUUAUAGAGGUAGAUGUGGGUUUGAAUUGUAAUGCAGAGCGAGAAAACUUCCAGAGACUUUUUACUAGGUCACCCAUAAGGCGUAAUAGUUUUUACAUGCAAAAAUAUUUUUAGGUGCUUUUGUCCUUGCUUUGGUUUUGUCUUUUAAUGGAAAAAACUUGAAAGGGUUCUGUUAUCUGGGACAUAGUUUUGCAGCUGUUAGGCAUGUUAGUCCUCCCCUCUGUUUUAGUAAUGCUAGCCAAAUAUCUUGAAAAUACUUGGAAAUCAAGGACUGAAAUCCUCAUGUACAUGAAGAGGUUUGCAUUGCAUUUGCCCUGUAGCACAAAAAAAAACCCCAAACCACAAAGACCCAAGCAACUCUUUCCGGGCUGUAUUAAAGUACACCCUUCUGAACGUGGCUGGUGCAUGCGUUUGGUGCCUGCUGUGUACCUGAAGUGUGAAGGCAUGAUGCGGCACAGAACUUUCUGUUGAUACUAAAACUGUCAAGAGGAUGAUGCUUAUAAAGAGAUUACUUGUGUUAAAAAUGAGUAAA